rnacentral:rRNA from 1 species
GACGAACCGAGCGAACGUUGUUCGGAAUCACUGGGCUUAAAGGGCGCGUAGGCGGGUGCUCAAGUCCGUGGUGAAAUCCUCCGGCUCAACCGGAGAACUGCCUCGGAUACUGGGCGUCUCGAGUGUGGUAGGGGGUAUGCGGAACUAUCGGUGGAGCGGUGAAAUGCGUUGAUAUCGAUAGGAACUCCGGUGGCGAAGGCGGCAUACUGGACCACCACUGACGCUGAUGCGCGAAAGCCAGGGGAGCAAACGGG